UACGGGGGGGGCAAGCGUUGUUCGGAAUUACUGGGCGUAAAGGGCUCGUAGGUGGCCAACUAAGUCAGACGUGAAAUCCCUCGGCUUAACCGGGGAACUGCGUCUGAUACUGGAUGGCUUGAGUGUGGGAGAGGGAUGCGGAAUUCCAGGUGUAGCGGUGAAAUGCGUAGAUAUCUGGAGGAACACCGGUGGCGAAGGCGGCAUCCUGGACCAUGACUGACGCUGAGGAGCGAAAGCCAGGGGAGCAAACGGG
rnacentral:rRNA from 1 species